rnacentral:miRNA from 1 species
UCCACUGUUGCGUUUUUCAUACGUACGUAUACGCACGUAAAACUUUAAAUCCGUUUAAAUGUUACUUAUGAAAUAACCGAAUAAAUAAAGCAACAGAAUUUAGUGUUCCGCAAGUUUUAGUAUGCAUUUGUUAACGUAUUUGUAAAAUAUUUCAAAAAUAGAAGGAUUCAAAGUUUUACGUGCGUGUACGUGCGUACGAAAAACGCAACAGUGGA